UUGCUUCAGCAGCACAUAUACCAAAAUUGGAAUGAUACAGAGAAGAUUUGCAUGGCUCCUGUGCAAGGAUGACACACAAAUUCAUGAAGGGUUCCAUGUUUUU